rnacentral:misc_RNA from 1 species
AACGUGGAGGUAAGCUUUCA